CUAACCUAAAACCCUAAGUUUCACGCCUCAUUCCUUCGCUUCGCUUACGCCGCUUCCUUCUGUCUUUCAUAUUUUGGUUUGGUUGGAAGCCUAAAUGCAGAAGCUCUUCUGUCACACAGUAAGAAGAGAUCCAGCAAAUGCAUGCAUCAAAAAUCAAUGGCGACUGCUGAUCAAAUAAAGAUUUUAUCUUUCACAGCAAAAACAUUACAUAAUCAUCAAAAAAUGAAUAGUUCGAUUCAACAUCAAAUGAUUUUCCAUAGAGGACAUGACAAUUAUGCAGAAAACGAUGUGAAAGUUGAUGGAAAUGAUACCAAUGUGGAUGGCUUGGUUGAACGACUUCCUAGAAGCUCCCGUCAAAGGAAGCGAAAAAAUAUUAUUGAUGAUUCUAACGAUUCAGUUAUUCUCCCUAGGAAACCAGGGAUACCUAUAAUGUGAAUAGUUUUGCUGAUCGGCUUCGUGAAAGAUCAAGUAUAAAGAAGCCAAAUUAUAUUCUUGAUGAGUUAGAAGAAGAUUUAGAUAUCUUCACAGCAAACAUGGGAACCCUACAGAAAACAUUGUCAAAAUUGAAAGAAGUGACACUAAAAGAAGAGAUCUGGGAAAUGUAUACAAGUAUGUUAUCUCAAUGGAUAAAAAAUCAAGGGAUGCUGAUGCUAAUUAAAUGAACGAUGUCAUCUUUCACAGCAAAAACAUUACACUGUCAUCAGUACUCUCGAAGAGUAAAAAAGUUAAGAAUAUGUAAAUACAUCAUCGAGACAUCAAAAAACAUGUUCAAGCUGUUCCUUUUUUAAUUGUUCGAGUGUAUUACUUUUAUGUAAUUUUUUACUAAAUUUUUCAUAUGUUUUUGUUUCAUUUUAAUAUGUUUGAAGAGAAAUGAUAUUAUUUGAGAGUACAUGCAAAAGUAACUAAAUCAUGUUAAAUGUAUUCCGAUUUUAU